rnacentral:rRNA from 1 species
UACGUAGGGUGCGAGCGUUGUCCGGAAUUAUUGGGCGUAAAGAGCUCGUAGGCGGCUUGUCGCGUCGGAUGUGAAAGCCCGGGCUUAACUCCGGGUCUGCAUUCGAUACGGGCAGGCUAGAGUGUGGUAGGGGAGAUCGGAAUUCCUGGUGUAGCGGUGAAAUGCGCAGAUAUCAGGAGGAACACCGGUGGCGAAGGCGGGUCUCUGGGCCGAUACUGACGCUGAGGAGCGAAAGCGUGGGGAGCGAACAGG